rnacentral:tmRNA from 1 species
GGGGGCGAUUCGGAUUCGACGCCGGUGCCAAACCCUGAGGUGCAUGUCGAGAGGGUAGUAACUCUCGUAAAUCAAUUGCUACAACUUAAUAGUUGCCAACGACGACAACUACGCUCUAGCAGCUUAAUAUAGCCGCUAGCGAUUGCCACCGGGAUGCCUGUAAACCAGUGUUUAGCAAUCGUCAUAUAGAACAGGAUCGCGGGGAGGUUCGUCCAGGACCAAACCGUUAAACUUCACUGGACUCGCCCAAGUCACCCUGCCCGUCGGGCGGACAAGGGUUAACUCAAUAGACGACGCUAAACAUGUAGAGCCAAAGGCAGCGGACUGACGGACGGGAGUUCAACUCUCCCCGCCUCCACCA